UACGUAGGGUGCGAGCGUUAAUCGGAAUUACUGGGCGUAAAGCGUGCGCAGGCGGCUUUGCAAGACAGAUGUGAAAUCCCCGGGCUCAACCUGGGAACUGCAUUGGUGACUGCAAGGCUAGAGUACGGCAGAGGGGGAUGGAAUUCCGCGUGUAGCAGUGAAAUGCGUAGAUAUGCGGAGGAACACCAAUGGCGAAGGCAAUCCCCUGGGCCUGUGCUGACGCUCAUGCACGAAAGCGUGGGGAGCAAACAGG
rnacentral:rRNA from 1 species